CGCCAUGACCAUCAAUUCUCCUUCUCUUCGACGACAAUGGCUGCUCUGUUCAUCAUCUCAUCCUCCCAUUCCCCCUUCUUUUCCUACAACAGCUAGCGUCUCCUUUUCGAAAUCCAUUCUGCGAAUCAUCAAGCUUCUUCUUCGACUUACUCUAUACCAACUCUGAUUUUAAAAUGUUCGAAGGGCUUCUAUCGAUGGCAGCAUGAGAAGGAUUCUGUCAGUGGUGGUUAGACAGAUAGGCUGCUUUCUUGGAAAUCUUCAGUUAUAAGAGCAAACAAAAGGAGAAGAUGCGUUGGUUUCUUGGACGCGAUGUGGAGGAAGCUUCCUACAGUCACCAUUUUCGGAGUUGAAGCUUGAGAGUGAGGUUUUGAGGAUUCAAAAGGGCCAAGAAAGGAAGUACAAGAAGAGUAGUCUUGCUUAUUAUAGUUGUUCUGUUACUCGGGAUAUGAAUGUAUAUUUGUUAAUAGUGUUGAAAGUUGCCAAUUAGAAUGCAUAUAUGGAUAUGCAUUCCUUUAGAGACUUGCUCGUACUAUCUUUUGUUACAUCUUCGCCCUUUUUAUAGUGUAUGUUUUAGAAUGGAUAGGUUUAAAUGUUAUUUCAAGUAAGUGUGUAAUUUUAUUAUUUUGAUGGAAAGUGCUUCUUGAUAUAUGUUGAGCUGUGGUUUCUAGCUUGUGGUGCCUAAGUUAUAAGUACCUAUGUAAAGUUGGAAGUAUUUGUUGAUAGGCAAGGUUCGAUCUUGGUAAAGGUCAUGACUUGUCUUACUAAAGAAAUGUAUUUACUAAAGAAAUGUAUGUACUUAUGUGAUUUGUGUGGGUUA